GACGUAGGGCGCGAGCGUUGUCCGGAUUUAUUGGGCGUAAAGAGCUCGUAGGCGGUCUGUCGCGUCUGCUGUGAAAACCCGAGGCUCAACCUCGGGCCUGCAGUGGGUACGGGCAGACUAGAGUGCGGUAGGGGAGAAUGGAAUUCCUGGUGUAGCGGUGGAAUGCGCAGAUAUCAGGAGGAACACCGAUGGCGAAGGCAGUUCUCUGGGCCGUAACUGACGCUGAGGAGCGAAAGCGUGGGGAGCGAACAGG
rnacentral:rRNA from 1 species